rnacentral:rRNA from 1 species
UACGGGGGGGGCUAGCGUUGCUCGGAAUCACUGGGCGUAAAGGGUGCGUAGGCGGGUCUUUAAGUCAGGGGUGAAAUCCUGGAGCUCAACUCCAGAACUGCCUUUGAUACUGAAGAUCUUGAGUUCGGGAGAGGUGAGUGGAACUGCGAGUGUAGAGGUGAAAUUCGUAGAUAUUCGCAAGAACACCAGUGGCGAAGGCGGCUCACUGGCCCGAUACUGACGCUGAGGCACGAAAGCGUGGGUAGCAAACAGG